UACGGGGGGGGUAAGCGUUGUUCGGAAUUACUGGGCGUAAAGGGCUCGUAGGCGGCCAACUAAGUCAGACGUGAAAUCCCUCAGCUUAACUGGGGAACUGCGUCUGAUACUGGAUGGCUUGGAUUUGGGAGAGGAAUGCGGAAUUCCAGGUGUAGCGGUGAAAUGCGUAGAUAUCUGGAGGAACACCGGUGGCGAAGGCGGCUCACUGGACCGGUAUUGACGCUGAGGUGCGAAAGCGUGGGGAGCAAACAGG
rnacentral:rRNA from 1 species